AUUGAACGCUGGCGGCAUGCCUUACACAUGCAAGUCGAACAGUAACAGGUCUUCGGAUGCUGACGAGUGGCGAACGGGUGAGUAAUACAUCGGAACGUGCCCGAGAGUGGGGGAUAACGAGGCGAAAGCUUUGCUAAUACCGCAUACGAUCUCAGGAUGAAAGCAGGGGACCGCAAGGCCUUGCGCCCACGGAGCGGCCGGUGGCAGAUUAGGUAGUUGGUGGGAUAAAAGCUUACCAAGCCGACGAUCUGUAGCUGGUCUGAGAGGACGACCAGCCACACUGGGACUGAGACACGGCCCAGACUCCUACGGGAGGCAGCAGUGGGGAAUUUUGGACAAUGGGCGCAAGCCUGAUCCAGCCAUGCCGCGUGCAGGAUGAAGGCCUUCGGGUUGUAAACUGCUUUUGUACGGAACGAAAAGACUCUGGUUAAUACCUGGGGUCCAUGACGGUACCGUAAGAAUAAGCACCGGCUAACUACGUGCCAGCCGCCGCAGUAACAC
rnacentral:rRNA from 1 species